CCCCAGAGCCUGUAGGAAGGCAGCUAAAGCGAUAGCUCCCGGUGGGCCAUCCGUCUCUUCUGGGGGCUCGUGACUGAAAUGUGUCGGGAAUCCAGUGGUGACCAGUACGGAGUGCGCGUGAGACAGUGACAGAGCUGCCAGCAGUAACUCAUCUUUAAGUAGCAGGGUCUCUCACUGAACCUGGACCUCACUGACUUGGCUCGGCUCGGCUGACUGGCCAGUGAGCCUCAAGGAUCCCCUUGUCUGUCUUCUUAGUCCUGGAAUUCCAGGCACCCGCUGCUGUGCCCUGGUUCUUGUGUGUGUGCUGGGGACUGAACCCAGCUCCCCCUCCUGCUGACCCGGCAAGCAUUUAACUAACUGAGCUAUGUCCCCAGGCUCCAGGAUUCGGAUUAAAGAUGGUUUUUUUCCUAGACGGAAUCAGCACAUCAGACAGUCAUCAAUCUGCCUCCUCGGGGACUCAUGCUUCAAGACCCGUACCAGUCUGCAGGAGCGCCGAUGGGAGGCAGGCGUUGCGUCUGACCUCUCCGCUCAUCCUUACAAAGCGAUGGAUGAACAAGGCAGCCGUAAAUCUGCUGUCUGCGCCUUCUUUUAAACUCAGAGCUAAUUACAGAGUUAAUAAUUCAUCUUUCCUCGUGACACUAUGUUAAAUGGGGGAGCCAUCACCUUGGGACUGUCUGGGAGGGAGAAACCAUUAUAGGAAAAAAUUAAAUAUGUACUCAGG
rnacentral:lncRNA from 1 species